GUUCCUCACUUCCGGGGUACCUAACACAUGCCUGACAUGGAUUUGUGUAUUGAGUUUAGCAUGUCUCUGGUUUACGCAAAGCUUUUGAUGAAUGUUAAAUAGUUUUACUUUUACAAACCGGAAUGUGUAAUGUCUCCGAAUCAACUAUGUACGAGUUAACUUUUUGUUUUGUUUAUUUCAAGAGUUAUUUCCCGUAGUUUGGCAAGCGCCAUAUUUUACACGUGCAAUUGUGACUUUGCGACUUUGUAGCCCUAUAGUUCUUUUACUGCACCAAUACUGAAUAAAGGAGAUGAAGCCUUCUCAAUAACCGUUCCAGUAUAAAAUGGUUUAUCGACUUACGAUGUCAUAAAAAUUUGGGUGCGAGUGUCCUCCAGGAAAAUUUCAAUCGAAGUACAGAAUUUUCUUGAAUCCGAGGACAAUAAUGUUUUUAUCAGCUGAUUGUAGAGGAGGAGUUUUGUCAAUAUUAGAUGGGUACUAACGUCAUAUUGUGGCUGCAUCACUUUUGUUUGGCAGAGGAACAAGAGAACCAUGCAGUAACACAGAUAAAAGAUGCAGUUCCCAAGAGAUCCAAAGUCGGCAGCUCCUAAGGCUAUACUGACUGAAUAUCAGCAUCCAAAACAAAUUGAUACAAAUCAAAUACAGUACUUUGUGACAGUGGGAAGAUAGAAUUUAAAAAAUGGACAUGGCACAAUACUACUGCAUCAGAGAUCAAUCCAGGUUUACUUAUAAUUUGAAGAAAAACAGUCAAGCAUCAUUUGGAGCUACAUAUGUCACUGCC